rnacentral:rRNA from 1 species
UACGGGGGGGGCAAGCGUUGUUCGGAAUUACUGGGCGUAAAGGGCUCGUAGGUGGCCAACUAAGUCAGAUGUGAAAGCCCCGGGCUCAACCUGGGAACUGCAUUUGAAACUGGCGGGCUUGAGUGUGGCAGAGGGGGGUGGAAUUCCGCGUGUAGCAGUGAAAUGCGUAGAGAUGCGGAGGAACACCGAUGGCGAAGGCAGCCCCCUGGGCCAACACUGACGCUCAGGCACGAAAGCGUGGGGAGCAAACAGG